GGGCCGGUAGUUCAGCCUGGUAUGAAGGUACCAUUCAGGAUCAUGCAAACGACGCCUUCGCAUGUUAGUACAGAAAGAGGCGGAGGUCCGGGGUUCAAAUCCCCGCCGGUCCA
rnacentral:tRNA from 1 species